AGGGUCGACGCGGUGGGUCCUUACACCAGCCGCUCUACACUGACCUUGACCCCAGUGGCGGCGGAUGACGGCUCGUCACUGACCUGCAGAGGCUUCAAUCCAAACCUUUCAAAAGUGCUUGAAAAUUCAACCAAACUCUCUGUGCUUUAUAAGCCUCACAUGGAGCUUCAAGCGGGGCUGAAUAUCGACUUAAAGGACAUAGAAGAGGGAGACAACGUCUACUUUGACUGCAUAGUUGAUGCCAACCCUGCGGUGACAGGGGUGCAGUGGGCGCAUAAUGGAGUGCCCCUCAAGACUAACCUUACGCGGGGCAUUCAAGUGAGUCCUUCAAAGGAUUCCUCCCGGAG